GCCAAUUAAGCUCUCUCCGUUAAGUUUCCAGUAACAUCGUCUAAUUUUGAUGACGUAGUGCACACAUAUGUAUACACCUUAUAUUACGUGAAACUUUUUAUUUAAUUUAUUAUUAAGUCUUGCACAACUGUCCAAAUGUUGCCUCAUAGCCUUUGACGAAAAACCUUGCACCAAUCAGUUUCUUGUUACAGUUUAAAGGGUUGAAGUUUUUACCUUUGUCACACUCACCUUCCUACGAUACAUCUGCGAAAAUCACAUUGUUUUGCCCCGUUAUAGAGGAAAUCAAACAAUGAUAGAAUCAUUAAGAAAAUAAAAGGAAAAUGACAAGGUAAAAGAAAGAAGAAAUAUGUUUAUUUCCCAUCCCUUAAUAACCCAACAAAUCUUUCAAAUUGAAUGAUCAAUUCACUCAUGGAGUUCUCCUGGUUCAGAGCCAACAACGAUUCAAAAGGCUCUUCCACACAAAUUGAUUGCGUUCAUGAAAACAACCCUAGAUUGGCUUGGACUCUGUUGAAGGGUCUUGCCUUCUGCGUUUCUGCUGGUUGCGCGACGGUGACAAGUUCGAUUUGGGCAUUUAGGAUUCUCUUAGUGUCCGCCGCAAUGAUGGUUCAGGCCUGGUUGUGCUUCAUGUUAUAACAUUCACCCUGCAGCCAUUAGAAAUGCAAAUCCUUCCAUUAAUAGAGAAUAAUCCAACUUGAAUUCACUUUGCCCGUUAUGAUUCGUCAACACCGAGACAAAUGACUCAUCCAACUUGAACUCACUUACCUUGUUCUGAUUCGUAAACAACGAGAUAGACCCAUUUUCAUAUAUGAACCCAUUUACCGAACCAGGAAAAUUUUCUAAGAGGGAAUCCAUGGAGAGCAUGUUGUUAGCCAGAAUAAAUCGAACAAGAAAAACUAUACUUUCCACAGAGAUCUAGUGAUGAGUCGCUAUUUUCUCGACUUCACUUAGUUUAUUGUGCUAGAAUUAAUCAGGGAAUUGUGCUUAAUUGUCCGGUAUUUUCCCGUUUUUACUAAUUGUGCUUAAUUUGACUGAAAAUUCUAAUUUUAAUUAAUUUGAAUUUUCUGAGCUAAUUAUUUGCAUUAUUAUUUUCAGGGAAAAUUUUAGAAACACAAUUUGGGACAUUAGGAGGACACCAAAUAAAUUCAAGACUCUCAAAUUAGACAUUUUUAAAAUUUAUUAUAUUAUAAUUUAAUUGUUUAAACUUUUUGGACAAACUUUUGCAUAUUGGGCCAUUGUUGGCAAAAAUAUGAGGGCCCAAAAUUGUAGGACACUUGGCACCUAGGGUUUUAUUAUUUUAGGGUGGACCCCACCCUAAUUUUAGGACACAUGGCCUAGCUAAAAAAGGUGCAGCCGUCACAGGGGUGGGGGGGCUCGACUGGAACAUUUUUGAGGAGAAGGUUUUUGGAAACCAUGUUUACACACUUGGAUUUUGGUUGAAUUAGCUAUGAGUCUAGCCGCCACUUGUUCUUUCCCUUUGAACGUUAAGUUUUGUUGGAGAAAGGAUGAGCUUUUGAAGGGAUUUUCAAACUGUUACGGAAAGCACACUCUUGCCUUCUUAAAUUUUUUUUUUUUUUUUACACUUUGGAUUGCAACCGUUUAUUGCUCUUUUCUUACGAAAAGGAUUAUAUUUUUCUUUUCUUCAAUUGGAAGCUCAACGUUCUCUCAUCUUAUUUAAUGGAAUUGUUGCAGUAAAUGAAUGAAAACUUUUCUCUAUCAUUUGGUCAUGUUGCAUUUAUUAUUUGAAGGGCAUCUUAUUUUUUUUCUUAUUUAGUAUUAGGUUGGCUAAUUUCCUCUGCAGCACUGCACCAAUUCUCUUGAGAAUAAAUAGGAGAUUAACUAGGAGUUGGUGACAGCUGUCAGGUCUAGAUGAAAUGAGUAUUUUUAUUAUUCUUUUCUUGCUUUACUUUCAAAGAAAGAGUUGCUUUUACUGUGAAGAAGUGGUCACGGUUGUGGUAGGAAAGUAGUAUUACUUUUAUUUUGUUGGAAUGACAAAUAGAUUAGGUGGAACUAAGGAUGGGACGUCCUGGUAGCUAGCUAAAUUGUUUUUUUUUUUUCUUUUUCUUUUAUUUAUUUGGGAAUGAAGAAGUAAUUAGAUGGAAGGCGGUGUGUGUGGUACGGUGAUGAUUUUGAGGGAAGAAGUUUGAUGCAUUGCUUGAGAAAAUGAUAGCAUGGUCUGGAGCUCACUGUCACGGUUUCUUUAUUUUUUUAUUUUUAUUUUUAUUUUUUUUUAUUUCACAAGCACAUUUCAUUUCUUUUCUUUUAACAUGGCACAUGUCACGGCUAAGGAGGAUUUUAUUUAGAAGUUUUUGCAAUUUU
rnacentral:lncRNA from 1 species